rnacentral:rRNA from 1 species
UACGAAGGGGGCUAGCGUUGCUCGGAAUCACUGGGCGUAAAGGGUGCGUAGGCGGGUCUUUAAGUCAGGGGUGAAAUCCUGGAGCUCAACUCCAGAACUGCCUUUGAUACUGAAGAUCUUGAGUUCGGGAGAGGUGAGUGGAACUGCGAGUGUAGAGGUGAAAUUCGUAGAUAUUCGCAAGAACACCGGUGGCGAAGGCGGCCAACUGGACCACAACUGACGCUGAGGCGCGAAAGCGUGGGGAGCAAACAGG